AAUUCUUGAGUUAGGGAAUUUCAAUCCUAGAAGUCUCACAUUGUUUCAAUACUGAGAAGCUUGUUAGAGUAAUCUUGAUUGUCUUGGAAUCCUUCAUUCUUUGAAGUUUGAAUUCUCAUAUCAAGUUGAGGACUCUCGCGCCUUUAGUUCUUUCAUAUCCUUCAUAUUCUUUCUCAUGAUAAUCCCAUAUCUCCUUUGCUGAUUUAAA
rnacentral:lncRNA from 1 species